rnacentral:lncRNA from 10 species
UGCGCCUGUAGUCCCAGCUACUGGGGAAGCUGAGGCAGAGAAUUGCUUGAACCCGGGAGGUGGAGGUUGCAGUGGGCCCAGAUUAUGUGCCACUGCACUCCAGCAGCCUGGGUGACAGAGUGAGACUCUGUCUCAAAAAAAAAAAAAAAAAAAGAUAGGACAGGACAAGACAAGACAAGAAAAAUUAUCAAUUUCUUUGGUACAGACAAUGUCUGAGAUAAAUAAUCUCAUGUCAAAUUGUAAUCCGCAGUGUUGGAGGUGGUGGCCUGGUGGGUGUUCAUUAGAUCAUGGGGGCGGACAUCUCAUGAAUAGGUUAGCACCAUCCCCUGGUUGCUGUUCUCGUGACAGUGAGUGAGUGAGCUGUCAGGAGAUCUGGUUGUUUUAAAGGAAACCCCAAGCUGUAUUUUGGAAAGAUAAUGCUGG